rnacentral:lncRNA from 1 species
CCCGAGGCUCACGUCACAGUGACCGCCCCCGUGGCCUGGGGAACCGCCGUCUCAGCGGCUGGGCAAGGCAUGGGCCCUCCAUGGCAGUCCUUUGGCAUUGGGCAACGGCCCACCCCCGUCUUUCGGGAUCGUCGCCCAGGUCCCGUGAUUUCAGGAUUCCCGCAGGGUGGAGCCAGGCUGAGGAAAGCUGCAGGGGAGCUUCAGGGAUGCCCAGGGCGAUCCCCAAGGAUCCCCAGGAUACUUCAGGCCUGCUCAGACGCUGUGGGAAAUGCGUCUCCUUGAACGCUGUCCCUGCUGGGAAUUCCAGCUCUUGGAUGGCAGGAAAGAGUUCCUAGAGAGAGAAGACAAAGAGCCUUUGUGCUGCAAAAGAAACCCCAGGCUGAAGACUGGAGAUCUGAAUGUGCAACCUGCAAGGGAACUGGAGACAAUGAAACUCCUGUCAGGUAAGUUGGAUGCUAGAAGCUUGUGUGGAGGGGAUGAAGGUUCCGUGUUUAUGAUUUGCCCAUAACAGCAAACAAGUAAAACCAAACCGCAGGGUAGGACCUGCCAUAAAAUAGAAUUUAGUAAAAACAGUCCUUCAGAAACAGAUUUCAUCCACUGAUUCACCUUCCACACACGGUUACAGUCUCGACUUGUGUCCAUAAAAGUGAGAAUCUGCAUUUUUUACACUGAGAAUUAUUUUUCUCUCGACAGGUCAAGUUGACAAGGGGUCUCAGUGUAGAGGCCAUCAAAGUAAUUUUGGUCAAAACACUUGGUGGCAAGAUGAUGAAGUUUUCUGUUGAAACAAUAAAGUGACUAAAUCCGUU